GCCCUUGAGAAGCUGUCUUAAACCAUUGCAGUCCAUUUGCUGCAGGUCCACCCAUGGUACCAAUUGGAUUUAACUUAGCGACAGCGAAGGAAUGGAGAUACAUUUCCAAGUCUGGACAGUGGCUUGGAGAAAAUAAUGCCUGACAUGUGAGUUUAACACUGAAGAAACAACACCAAAGUACAGCCGUUCAAACUGGACAAAUGGCAGAUAAAGGCUUAAUAACAAAUUAAGAAGAUGUUAAAAUGAAUAUUCACAGACCCUCUGUUACAGAUUAUAGUGAAGACAACACACUCUUUCCCUCAAUGGCAACAAAAGAAACAAGCUGGUCAUCGAUUUCAGGAAGCUGAGCGAAGGACACCGACAAUCUGUUCUGGUCCAUCCACUUUGGUGCUAAAGUCAAGAAAGAAUGCUAUUGCCUCUACUUCCUCAAAAGGCUAACGAAAUUUGACAAGUGCACAAUGACUCUUAUCAAUUUUCAUAAAUGCACUGUGGAAAGCAUCUUAACUGGAUGCAUCACAGCUUGAUAUGGCAACUGCUUUGCCUAAGACCGCAGGAAACUACGGAGUUGUGAAUGCAGCCAAGCCCAUCACAAAAACAAUCCUUCUUUCCACUGACUCCAUCUGUACUUCCUGCUGCCUUUGCAAAGCAGCCAGCAUUACCAAAGGCCCAUUCUCACCCUUCAUCAUGUCGAAGAUACAAAAGUUUCAAAAUGCCUACCAACAGAUUCAAGAGCAGCUUCUUCCCACUAUUGUCAGAUUUAUGAAUGGGCCUUUCAUUUAUCAGAAUUCAUCUUGCUUUGCACCUUCUCUAUAGCGAGAAUACUAUAUUUUCCAUGGUAUUCUAUUAUCUUGAUGUGCUUAUGCAAGGUAUGAUUUGUCUUGAAAGCACGUAUAACAAUACUUUCCACUGUAUA